rnacentral:rRNA from 1 species
AGAUUGAACGCUGGCGGCAUGCCUUACACAUGCAAGUCGAACGGUAGAGUAGCAAUACUUGAGAGUGGCGAACGGGUGAGUAAUAUAUCGGAACGUGCCCAGUCGUGGGGGAUAACGUAGAGAAAUUUACGCUAAUACCGCAUACGAUCUAAGGAUGAAAGCGGGGGACCGUAAGGCCUCGCGCGAUUGGAGCGGCUGAUAUCAGAUUAGGUUGUUGGUGAGGUAAAAGCUCACCAAGCCGACGAUCUGUAGCUGGUUUGAGAGAACGACCAGCCACACUGGGACUGAGACACGGCCCAGACUCCUACGGGAGGCAGCAGUGGGGAAUUUUGGACAAUGGGGCGAAAAGCCUGAUCCAGCAAUGCCGCGUGCAGGAAAGAAGGCCUCGGUU